rnacentral:rRNA from 1 species
GACGAGCGCUGGCGGCGUGCUUAACACAUGCAAGUCGAACGGAAAGGCCCUGCUUGCAGGGUACUCGAGUGGCGAACGGGUGAGUAACACGUGGGUGAUCUGCCCUGCACUUCGGGAUAAGCUUGGGAAACUGGGUCUAAUACCGGAUAGGAGCCAUCUUUAGUGUGGUGGUUGGAAAGUUUUUUCGGUGUAGGAUGAGCUCGCGGCCUAUCAGCUUGUUGGUGGGGUAAUGGCCUACCAAGGCGGCGACGGGUAGCCGGCCUGAGAGGGUGUACGGCCACAUUGGGACUGAGAUACGGCCCAGACUCCUACGGGAGGCAGCAGUGGGGAAUAUUGCACAAUGGGCGCAAGCCUGAUGCAGCGACGCCGCGUGGGGGAUGAAGGCCUUCGGGUUGUAAACUCCUUUCGCUAGGGACGAAGCUUUUUUGUGACGGUACCUAGAUAAGAAGCACCGGCUAACUACGUG